UACGGGGGGGGCAAGCGUUGUUCGGAAUUACUGGGCGUAAAGCGCGUGUAGGCGGUCCGGUAAGUCCGCUGUGAAAGUCGAGGGCUCAACCCUCGAAUGCCGGUGGAUACUGUCGGGCUAGAGUGCGGAAGAGGCGAGUGGAAUUCCUGGUGUAGCGGUGAAAUGCGCAGAUAUCAGGAGGAACACCGAUUGCGAAGGCAGCUCGCUGGGACGUAACUGACGCUGAGACGCGAAAGCGUGGGGAGCAAACAGG
rnacentral:rRNA from 1 species